rnacentral:rRNA from 1 species
CAGCCGCCGCGGGAAUACGGAGGGUGCAAGCGUUAAUCGGAAUUACUGGGCGUAAAGCGCACGCAGGCGGUUUGUUAAGUCAGAUGUGAAAUCCCCGAGCUUAACUUGGGAACUGCAUUUGAAACUGGCAAGCUAGAGUCUUGUAGAGGGGGGUAGAAUUCCAGGUGUAGCGGUGAAAUGCGUAGAGAUCUGGAGGAAUACCGGUGGCGAAGGCGGCCCCCUGGACAAAGACUGACGCUCAGGUGCGAAAGCGUGGGGAGCAAGCAGGAUUAGAGACCCCUGUAGUCCCUGUCUCUUAUAC